rnacentral:tRNA from 1 species
CGUCGGCGGGCUGCGGCCCCGCCGCCGCCGUCCCCGGCGGCGGGGCCGCCUCCGGCACCUGCGCAGCACCGUCGGCCGCCGCGGCGGCCGACGCC